rnacentral:lncRNA from 1 species
AAAAACUUUCCAUAAGAGCAUCACCAACGGCUAUAGCGGCUACAACUUCAAGGACGAGUAAGGAAACUGGUUCAGGAUCCAUCAUGCCUCAGAACUGCAUAGCACCAAGGCCUGAAGAAAAUGGCCAAGUCAUGGUACAAGGUUUGACAGAUAUGUCAGAAACACAGAGCAAGUCUGUAAUAGCCUUCCCUGUGGUCACUUCACAACCUGGUCUCCAGCUUUCCAUGUACCCCAUAACUCUCAAGGUGUCUCUCUCUCUUUCUAUAUAGAUAUCUCUCCUGCACAAAGAAAGAGAGAGAAAUAAAUAAAAAUCAGUAUUGUGCACUUCUUGUUUUAGUUUUCAGUUGAGCUUUUGAAAUUUACCUGCAAGAAAUCUCAUCAGAAAUAUUCCUCUCUUCUUACUCUAGCUUGGUAGUAGAUUACAAGACGGGGACAUCAUUCUAACAACGUAUUCCAUCUAUUUCUUUGUGGUUGUACAGUUUGAGGAGGUUGUGUACAAGGUUAAGAUAG